GACGAACGCUGGCGGCGUGCUUAACACAUGCAAGUCGAACGGGACUGAUUGAAAGCUUGCUUUUGAAAAGUCUAGUGGCAAACGGGUGAGUAACGCGUAGGCAACCUGCCUCUAAGAUGGGGACAACAGUCCGAAAGGACUGCUAAUACCGAAUGUUGUGAGUUUUCCGCAUGGGGAGCUCAUUAAAGAUGGCCUCUACUUGUAAGCUAUCACUUAGAGAUGGGCCUGCGUCUGAUUAGCUAGUUGGUGGGGUAACGGCCCACCAAGGCGACGAUCAGUAGCCGGUCUGAGAGGAUGAACGGCCACAUUGGGACUGAGACACGGCCCAGACUCCUACGGGAGGCAGCAGUGGGGAAUCUUCCGCAAUGGGCGAAAGCCUGACGGAGCAACGCCGCGUGAGUGAAGAAGGUCUUCGGAUCGUAAAGCUCUGUCGAAGGGGACGAACGUAGGUCCUAUCAACAACCGAGUGCUCAUGA
rnacentral:rRNA from 1 species